CCUCCUAUAGGAACAGAUGAAACCUACCAACAAGGCUGUCUAGAAGGCAAACUGCAGGAUCUAGGACCUGGGGGAACCGGUAUCCACACCCACACCGCUGGACCCUUUCCUGUGUGUUAAGACCCAGUAACUCAACUUUCUCCGCAGCCCAGCAGAAUUGAGAAGCUGAAGCCACUGGGAUAGAAUUCAUCUGGUCAAUCUACGGCAGGGCAGAGAGAAGGUUCAGAGGAAGGAUGGGUAAGAAGGACUUAGUGCGCGCUCCCUGUCCUCUGCGAUCCCAAAGAGGGUCUUCAUCCUUGUCCGUGAACUCUUUCUUGGACCCACUCCAGAUGUGAUGCUCCCCAACCCUUCCCAAACAGCAAGGCCCAGAAAUCGCUUUUGCUCUCCUGGAUGCCAGCCCACAGUCCCCUCCCCAGGAGAAGGCCAAGCCAGGCCAGGCAGGAAUACUGGCUUUCAGGAGUGCCAGCUUGCAGGCGAGCUUGGGACUCCUGGAAGUCUCAGGCCACCGGGUCUCCCGCUUUGCUCGUCCUUGGCGACCUGGGCUCCCGGACCUGCAACUCAGGCGGCAGUAGGCCGGGUCACGAGGAAGAGAGCUUCAGAUCGGCCCACGCGGGGCUGGGGCUGGGGCUGGGGUGGGGCUCAGUGGCUCGGGCUCCCCUGUGCUCCCCGCCCCCGCCGGCCAGCUCGCCCUUGCUCCGCCGGCGCGCGUUCCUCGGGCGCCACCUCUUUGCGACUAGCUCAUUUCUCAGCAGGUUGGCCCCAGAGCGUGUGAACCUUUUUGGUUUGGGCUCGCAGCUCCUCUCCAACCUGCGCCGCCCCAGCUGGGCCGCUCCGCCCCACCGCCGGAACCCGCCCUCGCGGCCACCUGGCCCUCGCAUCCACGACACGCGCGCCUGCAACUUGUUCAAGGGCGUUGUGGAAUCAACUUUCCGGAAGCAACCAGCCCACCGGAGGAGAGGAAGCUCUCCGGUUGCUUUUUCCCCUCUCGGGUCCCUUUUUGCCUGUGUGGUUUGGGAGAGGCACAGUUGGAGGCGCUGA
rnacentral:lncRNA from 1 species